rnacentral:rRNA from 1 species
CCUACGGGGGGCUGCAGUAGGGAAUAUUGGACAAUGGGUGCGAGCCUGAUCCAGCCAUGCCGCGUGCAGGAAGACGGCCUUCUGGGUUGUAAACUGCUUUUGCCAGGGGAUAAAAAGCCCUUGCGAGGGAAAUUGAAGGUACCUGGUGAAUAAGCCACGGCUAACUACGUGCCAGCAGCCGCGGUAAUACGUAGGUGGCAAGCGUUGUCCGGGUUUAAUGGGUUUAAAGGGUGCGUUGUAGGUCAUGUGUGAAAUACGGCAGCUUAACUGUCGAGGUGCCAUUGAUACUGCAGGACUUGAGUACAGACGAGGUAGGCGGAAUUGACGGUGUAGCGGUGAAAUGCUUAGAUAUCGUCAAGAACACCGAUAGCGAAGGCAGCUUACUAGACUGUAACUGACACUGAGGCACGAAAGUGUGGGGAUCAAACAGGAUUAGAUACCCUUGUAGUC